rnacentral:rRNA from 1 species
GGAUUACCCUAGUAACGGCGAGUGAAGCGGUAACAGCUCAAAUUUGAAAUCUGGCCUCCACGGGUCCGAGUUGUAAUUUGUAGAGGAUGUUUCGGGCAAGGCUUUGGUGUAAGUUUCUUGGAACAGAACGUCAUAGAGGGUGAGAGUCCCGUCUAGCACCGGCUGUCGCGUCCAUGUGAAACUCCUUCGACGAGUCGAGUUGUUUGGGAAUGCAGCUCAAAAUGGGUGGUAAAUUUCAUCUAAAGCUAAAUAUUGGCCAGAGACCGAUAGCGCACAAGUAGAGUGAUCGAAAGAUGAAAAGCACUUUGAAAAGAGAGUUAAACAGUAUGUGAAAUUGUUGAAAGGGAAGCGCUUGCAACCAGACUUGCGUGUAGCGGUUCCCCCGGGUCUUCUGACCGGGCCAUUCCGCUACGUCCAGGCCAGCAUCGGUCCGGGUGGUUGGUCAAAGGCCUUGGGAAUGUAUCGGACCCCCUGGGGUCAGACUUAUAGCUCAGGGUGCAAUGCAGCCUACCCGGACCGAGGAACGCGCCCCCGCUCGGAUGCUGGCGUAAUGGUUGUAAGCGGCCCGUCUUGAAACACGGACCAAGGAGUCUAACAUCUAUGCGAGUGUUAGGGUGUCAAACCCUUGCGCGUAAUGAAAGUGAACGGAGGUAAGAACCCUCACGGGGCGCAUUAUCGACCGAUCCUGAUGUCUUCGGAUGGAUUUGAGUAAGAGCAUAGCUGUUGGGACCCGAAAGAUGGUGAACUAUGCCUGAAUAGGGUGAAGCCAGAGGAAACUCUGGUGGAGGCUCGCAGCGGUUCUGACGUGCAAAUCGAUCGUCAAAUUUGGGUAUAGGGGCGAAAGACUAAUCGAACCAUCAUCAUGGCUUUGUCAACCCUUGAUGUUCUAUGGACGUCGUUAAAAGGGAGGGGCAGUAUUGAUACCGUUGUUACCAGGUGGUUCUAGGGUCGACCAGCUAGAAAUGUUAGUUGGUCAAGUCUGCUGCUCUGCGGUGGGCGACGCUACUAGUUUCGGGGGAACUUUAGGUCGUUUAUUCGACUCGGUAAUCCUGAGCUUAUUGUUUCAAUGGCAGUAAGUGCACAGACUAAACCGUGGCGGCUGAUUAUUGUGUCAGUUAUAAUAUAGUCGGGUUAAAUACGUACGUGGGUCUCGGUGGCUCUAUAUGUGGUGUGGGUUUUCAGGGGAUGUGAAGAAUGCAGCAUAUAGAGGGCCUAGACGCACGUCGUCAAUUUACAAUAGCUGGUAGCUGGUUCCUGUCGAAGUUUCCCUCAGGAUAGCAGUAACGUUUUCAGUUUUAUGAGGUAAAGCGAAUGAUUAGAGGCCUUGGGGUUGAAACAACCUUAACCUAUUCUCAAACUUUAAAUAUGU